GUACUUCGCCUUGCUCGUGGCUUCGACACAUAACGGUUGAACCAACACUUUUUGGACGGGAGCCUCAUCAUUCCUUCGCGGAAGGGUAUCCCCGUAAGGGGAAGCUGGAAGUUGAAGGUGCGGGCACCCACCUGCCGAGGCAGGUUCACCGAGUCGGAGACACGGCAAGGCGAGGUCGC
rnacentral:other from 1 species